rnacentral:rRNA from 1 species
AGUGAACGCUGGCGGUAGGCCUAACACAUGCAAGUCGAACGGCAGCACAGUAAGAGCUUGCUCUUACGGGUGGCGAGUGGCGGACGGGUGAGGAAUACAUCGGAAUCUACUUUUUCGCGGGGGAUAACGUAGGGAAACUUGCGCUAAUACCGCAUACGACCUACGGGUGAAAGCAGGGGAUCUUCGGACCUUGCGCGAUUGAAUGAGCCGAUGUCGGAUUAGCUAGUUGGCGGGGUAAAGGCCCACCAAGGCGACGAUCCGUAGCUGGUCUGAGAGGAUGAUCAGCCACACUGGAACUGAGACACGGUCCAGACUCCUACGGGAGGCAGCAGUGGGGAAUAUUGGACAAUGGGCGCAAGCCUGAUCCAGCCAUACCGCGUGGGUGAAGAAGGCCUUCGGGUUGUAAAGCCCUUUUGUUGGGAAGGAAAAGCAGCAGGUUAAUACCCCGCUGUUCUGACGGUACCCAAAGAAUAAGCACCGGCUAACUUCGUG